rnacentral:lncRNA from 1 species
GGAGGUCAAGCCCCAGCUGCUUCCCCAACGAUUGCGCCUCCUACGACUGUCGUAACGCCUACUGCUUCACCAACCGUAGCACCGCCGGCGAAGUCUCCAGUUUCUGCUCCUCCGAUGGUUUCUGUUCCUACACCGGUUAGUUCACCACCUGCUGCGGUGCCAGUGAGUUCUCCACCUGCUGCGGUGCCGGUGAGUUCUCCUCCAACGAUUGAAUCUCCACCGGUUCCUGAACCAGUGAGCUCUCCUGCACCAGAGAUUGCUUCUACACCUGAAGCUUCUGCUCCGGCACCCAGCAAGAGGAAGACGAAGAUGAAUGCUCCAUCGCCGUCGCCUACCGAGGCACUUUCUCCUGGACCGAGUGGCGACGACUCUCCCUCUCCUGCUCCUAAUUCAGCCGACGUCGCCGACGAGGUAAUUCCGAUGUCUUACUUUUAGCUAAACUUAACCACUUUAUGCUUUUAUUUUUUAUUUUAUAAUUUAUAAUUUUAUAAUUUUAAUUUUAUAUAAUUUGAUUUAUUAAUUGGUGUGAAAAUGGAAAUUUGCAGAGUGGAGCCGACAGAUUAAAGAU